rnacentral:rRNA from 1 species
GACGAAGGAUGCAAGCGUUAUCCGGAUUCAUUGGGUUUAAAGGGUGCGUAGGCGGCCCGGUAAGUCAGUGGUGAAAUCUCCUUGCUUAACAAGGAAACUGCCAUUGAUACUGCUGGGCUUGAGUACAGAUGCUGUGGGCGGAAUAUGACAUGUAGUGGUGAAAUACAUAGAGAUGUCAUAGAACACCGAUUGCGAAGGCAGCUCACAAAACUGUAACUGAACGCUGAGGCACGAA